UGGCGGACGGGUGAGUAACGCGUGGGUAACCUGCCCUGUACAGGGGGAUAACAGUCAGAAAUGACUGCUAAUACCGCAUAAGACCACAGCACCGCAUGGUGCAGGGGUAAAAACUCCGGUGGUACAGGAUGGACCCGCGUCUGAUUAGCUGGUUGGUGAGGUAACGGCUCACCAAGGCGACGAUCAGUAGCCGGCCUGAGAGAGUGAACGGCCACAUUGGGACUGAGACACGGCCCAAACUCCUACGGGAGGCAGCAUG
rnacentral:rRNA from 1 species